AUUGAACGCUGGCGGCAUGCCUUACACAUGCAAGUCGAACGGCAGCAUGAUCUAGCUUGCUCGAUUGAUGGCGAGUGGCGAACGGGUGAGUAAUACAUCGGAACGUGCCCUGUAGUGGGGGAUAACUAGUCGAAAGAUUAGCUAAUACCGCAUACGACCUGAGGGUGAAAGUGGGGGACCGCAAGGCCUCAUGCUAUAGGAGCGGCCGAUGUCUGAUUAGCUAGUUGGUGAGGUAAAGGCUCACCAAGGCGACGAUCAGCAGCUGGUCUGAGAGGACGAUCAGCCACACUGGGACUGAGACACGGCCCAGACUCCUACGGGAGGCAGCAGUGGGGAAUUUUGGACAAUGGGCGAAAGCCUGAUCCAGCAAUGCCGCGUGUGUGAAGAAGGCCUUCGGGUUGUAAAGCACUUUUGUCCGGAAAGAAAUGGCUCUGGUUAAUACCUGGGGUCGAUGACGGUACCGGAAGAAUAAGAACCGGCUAACUACGUG
rnacentral:rRNA from 1 species